AGAAUCAGAAUUGUCAAGGUUGGAAAAGACCUAGAAGAUCAUCCAGUCCAACCAUCACAAAUACUUCCCAGCUAAAUCAUAUCCCUCAUCACAACAUCCAAAUGUUUCUUGAACACCCCCAUGGUCGGCGACUCCACUACCUCCCUGGGCAGUGGAUUCCAGUGCCUGACCACCCUUUCCGAGAAGUAAUAUUUCCUAAUGUCCAGCCUGAAUCUCCCCUGUCAGAAUCCUAUAGGACAAUUUAAGAAGAGUGAAAAUGUCACAAAUGAGAAGAACAAUCACAAACAUUUUUUCUAAAGGAUUUUUCUAAAGUCUCAAAAUUAUUCCUUUUAAUUUUAAUUGGAAUUCCUAAAAGACUGAAAUUUCCCAAGAACUGGCAACACUGAUUACUUGGAUAUGUAUGCUCAGCUGUAAAAUGGGUCAACAUUUAGUAUUAUUAUUAUUUUUUCCUUGAUAUUUGACUCUUCCUUUUUACACUUUUGCCACUUUACGUUUUUGGGGGUUUUGUGAGAUUUCUAACACCCAUAGGAAUUCCUUGGUAGGCUUGACUUCCAGCUUUCUUUGUGGUGAGAUGUUUGUGAAUUUUGAGAUAUAUACAUAUGUGAAUAUAUGAAAGUUGUUUUUCUUACAAGUUACUACACUUUUGUUGGCCAUAAAAAGGUAAACAAUCUUUAUGAGAUGGAACUAUCACCAACAUUUCUGUAAUCAGAGGAGAGUCACCCAAGAUGGCUCAGAAAUACACAUGAGGAGAGAUUUUUUGCAGAUUUUCAUCACAUACAGGUGCAGCUGUCCAGCUGCACUUCUCAGGAGACAUGAGGGGAGCAAAAUUUGGUAAAUCAUUGCCC
rnacentral:lncRNA from 1 species